rnacentral:rRNA from 1 species
UACGGGGGGGGGCAAGCGUUGUUCGGAAUUACUGGGCGUAAAGGGCGCGUAGGCGGUUCGCUAAGUUGAAUGUGAAAACUCUGGGCUUAACCCAGAGCCUGCAUUCAAUACUGGCGGGCUAGAGUUCUGGAGGGGAUAGCGGAAUUCCUGGUGUAGCGGUGAAAUGCGUAGAUAUCAGGAGGAACACCGGUGGCGAAGGCGGCUAUCUGGACAGAGUCUGACGCUGAUGCGCG